AGCACGUGCUCUGCUCUUGCUCACGUCUAGCACCGUCUCCGGCUCAGUGGUGCUUCUUGAGGCGACCGGCGUGACGGCGGCGACCACAAGCUCUCCGCUGUGAGUAGACGUCAAUGAUGCCUACUUGCUUGGCUGCUACAGUGAUGCAUGCGCCGGUCAAGCAAGCACACAUGCAUAUACGUACAUGUUAAGAUAGUAGCAGAUGUGCCAUAAUUCCUGUGUAAGGAAAUGUAUUCCUGAGAUGAUUUUGUUAUGUUAUCUAAACCUGGGAGAUGUGUUAUGUGAUGUGAUAUGAUGGAUGAUCUGAAUUC